CUGCAGCAAGACUUGGUGACAACAGGCACUGAGUUUUCAGUGAGCACAGUAAGGUCCAUACUAAAUGCAGAAGGUUUCCAUGCCAGAACUCCAAGACGUACAACACUACUGACCCAAAAGCACAAGAAAAGUCGGCUACAAUAUGCUCAAUAUCAUAUCAAUAAGACACAGAACUUUUGGGAUUCUGGUUUGUGGAGCGAUGAAACAAAACUGGAAUUUUUCGAUCUAAUGGAUUAGAAGUAUG